ACCAUGGUAUUCUGAAAAAAGGUUGCAGAUACUAGAAGAAGUGAGUCAGGCUUUAAGCAGAAGCAAGAAGGUUUAAGGAUACACACACACACAGAGUCUUACUCUACAGACUAGGUAAACCUCAACAACAGGCAAUCCUAGUGCCUCAACCUCCCAAGUGCUUCCAGAACUGGUGUGAGCUACCACACCAGACUUGAUCAGCAUUGGUUUGGUAAGGGAUACAGUUUUACUGACCACCUGUCGCAGCCUGAGAGUCUCCUCAGAGAUCCCAGACUCUGGGGCUCUGGAACCAGCAUGAAACAGACAUUUAUUAGGAAAAAUGUUGAAAGUAGAUGU
rnacentral:lncRNA from 1 species